GAUGAAGAACGUAGCGAAAUGCGAUAAGUAAUGUGAAUUGCAGAAUUCAGUGAAUCAUCGAAUCUUUGAACGCACCUUGCGCUCCUUGGUAUUCCGAGGAGCAUGCCUGUUUGAGUGUCAUUAAAUUCUCAACUAUUAUCAGCUUUAGCUGAUAAUGGCUUGGAUAUGGGGGUUUAUUUUGCUGGCUUCUUCACAGAUUGUCAGCUCCCCUUAAAUGCAUUAGCCGGUGCCCCGCGUGGACUGUCUAUUGGUGUGAUAAUUAUCUACGCCGUGGACAUCUACAAUCAUAUGGGUUUGCACUGCUUCCAACCGUCUGUUUAUUCAGACAAUACAUGACAAGUUGACCUCAAAUCAGGUAGGACUACCCGCUGAACUUAAGCAUAUCAAUAAGCGGAGGA
rnacentral:misc_RNA from 1 species